rnacentral:rRNA from 1 species
UAACUUAGUGGCGAACGGGUGAGUAACACGUAGGGAACCUGCCCAUGUACCCGGGAUAACAGAUGGAAACGUCUGCUAAAACCGGAUAGGUAUAGACAAGGCAUCUUGACUAUAUUAAAGGACCUUCGGGUGCGGACAUGGAUGGACCUGCGGCGUAUUAGCCAGUUGGCGGGGUAACGGCCCACCAAAGCGAUGAUACGUAGCCGGCCUGAGAGGGUAGACGGCCACAUUGGGACUGAGACACGGCCCAAACUCCUACGGGAGGCAGCAG